UAUGUACUCCCUCCGUCCUAAAAUUCUUGUCUUAGAGUUUUCUAGAUACAAAUGUAUCUACUCACGUUUUAGUAUUUAGAUACAUUCAUUUCUAGACAAACCUAGGACAAGAAUUUUGGGACGGAGGGAGUAUAUA
rfam:Hordeum vulgare subsp. vulgare, WGS project CAJW01000000 data, contig: morex_contig_39554